rnacentral:rRNA from 1 species
GCUUGCACAGGUGCUGCAUGGCUGUCGUCAGCUCGUGUCGUGAGAUGUUCGGUUAAGUCCGCUAACGAGCGCAACCCUCGCUGUGUGUUAUAUGUGUCACACGGGACUGCCGGUCUUAAGCCGGAGGAAGGUGGGGAUGAUGUCAAGUCAGCAUGGCCUUUAUAUCCUGGGCUACACACACGCUACAAUGGCCAACACAAUAGGUUGCUAAGCCGCGAGGUGGCGCCAAUCCAGCAAAACUUCCCUCAGUUCAGAUUGCAGGCUGCAACUCGCCUGCAUGAAGUUGGAGUUGCUAGUAAGCGCAGGUCAGCCAUACUGCGUUGAAUACGUUCCCGGGGCUU